CCUACGGGAGGCAGCAGUGGGGAAUAUUGCACAAUGGGGGAAACCCUGAUGCAGCGACGCCGCGUGAGUGAAGAAGCGCCUCGGCGCGUAAAGCUCUGUCAGCAGGAACAACGAUGACGGUACCUGAAGAAGAAGCCCCGGUUACCUACGUGCCAGCAGCCGCGGUCAUACGUAGGGAGCAAGCGUUAUCCGGAUUGACUGGGUGUAAAGGGAGCGUAGACGGCGGGGCAAGUAUGGAGUGAAAGGCCGGGGCCCAACCCCGGGACGGCUGUUGAAACUGCCCGGCUGGAGUGCGGGAGAGGUAAGCGGAAUGCCUGGUGUAGCGGUGAAAUGCGUAGAUAUUAUGAAGAACACCAGCGGCGAAGGCGGCUUACUGGACCGUGACUGACGUUGAGGCUCGAAAGCGUGGGGAGCAAACAGGAUUAGAUACCCCAGUAGUC
rnacentral:rRNA from 1 species